UUUCCCAAACAUCCCAAUGUUGUUGGUUUUAUUGGAGCCGUUACUAAGAAUCCUCUGGAAGGUAAAUUUACACACACAAUAUGUUUUCGCAAAGCAAUCGAAUAAUUGGUUUUCCGCAGGCGAAAUAAUGAUCGUUUAUGAUUACUGCCGAUAUGGUGAUCUCAGGAGUUUCUUAAAGAAAAAUAAACAAACUCAAAGCGCAUGUCAAGAAGCGAAUACAGCACCGGGCUAUGGUAGAAAAAUGAAAGAAGGAACGUUUUGUGUGUUUUGGUAGAAUUUCUUCUAAAUUUGGCUUCUUUUGCGUAGAAAAUACUCCUGACACAUCCUUCAUUUCAUCUCUAACACCCAGUUUCCCAUACACAACAACGGAUCUGCUUGACUGGUCCAUCCAAGUGGCAAGAGGAUUGAAAUUUUUGACUUCGAAUGACCCUCCCAUCAUACACCGUGAUCUAGCGGCUAGAAACAUAUUGCUUUGUGAAGAAAAAACGGUCAAAAUUGGUGAUUUUGGUCUGUCACGGAAAUUGAACGGAAUGGACUAUUAUACAAAAGAAUCAUGGGCUCCAGAUCCAAUUCCAUGGAUGGCCAUUGAAACACAUCCAGAUGAAAGAGAACUGAAAUUCAGUGUAAAAUCGGAUGUUUGGUCGUUUGGUGUCGUGCUUUGGGAGUUAUUUUCAGAAGGAGAUGGUCCAUAAUACAUCUCAAAAGAAGACUUAUCAGAUGACAUCCGACUAGAAAAACCAGAAAAUGCUACGGAAGAAAUGUAUGACCUUAUGAUGUCUUGUUGGGAGGAAAGUCCAGAAAAUCGUCCAACAUUUGACGAGUUAGAAAAAAGGCUUUCGAAAAUGUGAUCGGAUGCACUAAAUGGUAAAAAUAAUGAUGGCGUAGAUGAUAAAGAUAGAUAUAACGAAUCCUCAAUAGCAGUCGAAAUAGAUGAAGUAAGCGAUGCAACGGAGGAAAGCAGUUCCGAUUCGAGUGAUGAUUCGCAUUCGCAAUCUGCACAUUAUAGCUUAUCGUUACCAAGUACUAAUGAAGAAAUACAAUCGAAUUUAUGUUCAAAUAACGUAGAAAUGAAAAUGUUCAAAUACAACAUUUUAACUGAAAGUCCUUUAACAUCAAUAAAUGUUGAUGUUUCGAA